ACAGCACACAGCCAAGGCAUCAGAAGCACUGCAUAAAGCCAUUUUGGUUCUAGCAGGAUUUCACUGCAUCUCCAGUUACUGUCAUUUUAUUUUGCAAUCAUCCUUUUUUUCUUAUCUCACAGAGUGUUUUCAGUCUUUUAGGACUCCUGCAGGAAUGGACCUGGAUUGAAAACUUGCCCAUGUCAAUUCACAAAAAUCACUUCUUGCUUCUGGAUCAGCUGCUUGGGCCUGUUGUGCUGGACUGAACCAGCCCAUGGGAAGUGGAUAAAUGCUGCUUUGUCUGGAACAAAAGUGGGCUGACUUCAUCUACGUGCAUUUAUUCUACAUUGCAUUAGCGUGUGAGAUUCUGGACCAAGCCUGAGCACGGUUCCAGUGACAAGCUGCCCAGAGCUGCAGGGUGUUCAGCACGUCCACACUGAAUUGCUCCCAUCUCUUCAUUUGUCACAGACCACACGUAAUCAGAAGAUUUCUGCAUGUGACACCACACCAAACUGCAGUUCUGCUGCCCUGGAUGGUCUCUCAGAGCAGCCUUCACCAGGCUGUCAUUGCAUCUUUGCCACCAGAACAUCAUCCACGAUGAUUCAACUUCUUAAGAAUCCUGUUUGUGCCUCUUUCUGCUGCACAGGAAGGAGAAGUUGGGACAUCUUCCCACCAACUUCCAACAUCCUUGUCAGAGCAGAAGUUCACGGUGGAACAAACCUUACUCUGCCUUCUGUGACUAUUCCCAUCAUACUGGAGACUGUCAACGUUCACCUUCUGCUUGACAGCAGGGAAAAAAAGGUUGGGGUAUUUAGGGCAUGCACUUCUAUGCCUGUAAAAUUUGCUCUCAACAGUCUACAGUCGGGAUUACAAAUGCCAAAUAAUAAUAAUAUCUCUACUACUUUUAGAUAUUGAUCCCUUAAUCUACCCUGUGAAAAAAAAAUAACAAUUACUGUAAAGAAUAUUGGAGAUUACAGCUAAACCUCAGGAGCCUUCUAGAUACAGCAGCCGAUUGGGAGACUGGCUUAUCUUCUGACUCAUAACCCAAACAAGCUCCUGAAUGUGCACUGUACAUGGGAAUAGAUGAGAAUGCUCUGGAGGAACAGAGCCAGGAAGAACAGUACUGAAGGUAGAUAAGGUCAGACCAAUUCUGGUAAUACAGGCUAAUUAGUAAAUCAGCAAUGGAGUGUUUCAAUAAUGUAGGCUGCACUGCAUCAAAAAAAGGAGAGACAGAAUGUACCAAGUGUCUUAGGGGAUGGAAAAACCCCAGAGGGAUGAAGUCAGCACUACUGAAGAAUUACCUAUACUUAACUGUUGAAGGGCUGGGAAUGUGACCCGUCUCAGACAGUUUUAUUCACUCAGCACUUUUUCACUGUGGAGACAAAAAAGAUUCAGAGUGGAGUCUACCUGGAAAAAGAGGGGCUGAAUGAUGUUUUGCGUUAAAAGGACAUAGCUGAUCUUGGACACAAGAUUAGCCAGGAAGCUAACAUCACAGCUAAAGCUCUGGGCUCACUUAGAAGAGAUUUUUCAAGUCUAAAGAAAGAAAGAGGACAUUUAAGCAUUUGUAAAUGCAAGCUGACAUGUUCUAUUGCAAUGAAGAGGAUAAAUAUUAAUGUCAUUGUCUGAAGAAAGAUAAAUUAUACAAGUUACAUCAUGAAUCCAUAUGAGAUCUGAAACCAAACAUUUUUAAGAGUAAAAAUAUACUACUAAAAGAGGAAUUCCAACAAAAAUUAAGUGAAACAGUAAUUAACAAGUCAUUUGUCUUUGCCUUGCAAGUCUGCUUGACUUUGCAGAGGAUAGCAAAAUUUCCUUUGCUUUAGAUUGCAGUGGCAUUUUUGCAAAGCCCUCACAGGUGAAUGAUCCCUGUCACACGGCUGCUCAGACCCAUGUCUGUAAAGUAAGACAGGCGUCCAUUAAGAGGUGACUCUUGCAUAUGUAUGGAGUCACUGGGAGAGGCUGAUUUCACUAUGAUACCACCUGCUUUGAGUUCUUGCAGCAUCACAGACAUGCAGUGGUGCUCAUCCUUCAUAUCACUGCCACUGGGGUGAGAGCUGCAGGUCCUGUUUCUAGAGCAAGAACCCAGUGGCUGAUCACGGCUCUGUGCUAAGGAGUAGUAAAAUGUCUGUCUCUUCUCCUAGAAAUUCAUAUUUCUUUCUCAUCAGAAAGACAGGCUAGAAAGUCCUGGAGACAAGGAAGUCCAUGCUGAGUAAAGAGCUAAUGAAAUGGUGAGAUUACAAACAGUAGAAGGAGCUCAGAAGGAACAGGUAUGAGUGACAGGAUUUUAGAAUGAUCUGUUCAAAGCUCUUUGUUUUGGGGGGUUUUGGUUUUGUUCUUCUUGGUUUUCUUUAUUUUAUUUUGUUUUGUUUUGUUUUGUUUUGCUUUUAUUUAUUUGCUUUUAGUAGUACCUAUGUAACAUCAACUAUCAAUAAACAGGUGAAAUAAGGAAACUUCUUCAUAAAGAUCCUCAGCCUUCAUUCAUUCUCAAACCACUAAACAUUCUUGAGACUUCCGCUUCUGCUCCAGCUAACCCAGAAAGUCAGAACACAGUUCCCAGUGUUUUUAGUACAGUAAAUCUGCAGACCCUUUUUAAGCUACCCCCUAC